UCUUCAACGUUUGUUGGAUAGCAAAAGAAUGGCAGAUGCUAAGCGUAAGUCACUGUACAGGAUAAAAACGCGUUAGCAUUGGAGUUUAGUUCUGGUGUGAGUAGGAUGCUUCAUUUCAAUCCCUUAUAAAUUUAGAUAGGAUUUCAUGCAAUGUUAGUUGUGUAACGAAGAAAACAAGCUAAAAAUGGCUAAAGAGAAAUCAUAUGUAAUUGCUCUUCAGCCUCUUCUUCUUCUAUCUUUGCUCCUAUGUCUUUCUUCCCAAGUUGGUGUUGCCGACGCCAGAAGCCAUACAAUUAAUACCGGGUAUUCAGAUUCUCGAUGUGCCGAUAAAUUUCCAGCAACUCCACCACCAGUCUACAAACCUAGCCCGCCGAUAGCCACUCCGAGGUCUUCGUCACCCAAGGGAAAAGGCCCAUAACUCCAUAAGUGCUGAAAAGUUUCAAGAAGUGACAGGGAUUGA